GAUGAACGCUGGCGGCGUGCCUAAUACAUGCAAGUCGAGCGAACAGAUGAGGAGCUUGCUCCUCUGACGUUAGCGGCGGACGGGUGAGUAACACGUGGAUAACCUACCUAUAAGACUGGGAUAACUUCGGGAAACCGGAGCUAAUACCGGAUAAUAUAUUUAACCGCAUGGUUCAAUAGUGAAAGACGGUUUUGCUGUCACUUAUAGAUGGUUCCGCGCCGCAUUAGCUAGUUGGUAAGGUAACGGCUUACCCAGGCAACGAUGCGUAGCCGACCUGGGAGGGGGAUCGGCCACACUGGAACUGGGACGCGGUCCAGACUCCUACGGGAGGCAGCAGUAGGGAAUCUUCCGCAAUGGGCGAAAGCCUGACGGAGCAACGCCGAGUGAGUGAUGAAGGUCUUCGGAUCGUAAAGCUCUGUUAUUAGGUAAGAACAACUGUGUAAGUAAAUAUGCCCGUCUUGACGGUACCUACUCAGAAAGCCCCGGCUAACUACGUG
rnacentral:rRNA from 1 species